rnacentral:rRNA from 1 species
CAUGUGUGCAAGUCAUUGGGCUUGCUAAACCCAAAGGCGCAAUGAAAGUGAAAGGCCGCCCAUUUAGGCGGCCCGAGGGCUGAUCCUUUUUGGCGCAAGCUCGGGACUCACACGUCCCAUCGCGGUCGGUGAGUACCAAGAGCAGACAUGUUGGGACCCGAAAGAUGGUGAACUAUGCCUGGCCAGGACGAAGCCAGAGGAAACUCUGGUGGAGGUCCGUAGCGAUUCUGACGUGCAAAUCGAUCGUCGGAGCUGGGUAUAGGGGCGAAAGACUAAUCGAACCGUCUAGUAGCUGGUUCCCUCCGAAGUUUCCCUCAGGAUAGCUGGUGCUCUUUACAGAUUUUCAUCCGGUAAAGCGAAUGAUUAGAGGUCUUGGGGACGAAACGUCCUCAACCUAUUCUCAAACUUGAAAUGGGUGAGAGGUCGGGCUUGCUUGACUGAAGCCCCGACGGAGAAUCUGGAGUACCUAGUGGGCCAUUUUUGGUAAGCAGAACUGGCGCUGUGGGAUGAACCAAACGUUGAGUUAAGGGGCCUAAAUGGACGCUCAUCAGAUGCCAU